rnacentral:rRNA from 1 species
UACGGAGGAUGCAAACGUUAUCCGGAAUGAUUGGGCGUAAAGCGUCCGCAGGUGGCUGUGUAAGUCUGCUGUCAAAGAGCGAAGCUCAACUUCGUAAAGGCAGUGGAAACUACACGGCUAGAGUGCGUUCGGGGCAGAGGGAAUUCCUGGUGUAGCGGUGAAAUGCGUAGAGAUCAGGAAGAACACCGGUGGCGAAGGCGCUCUGCUAGGCCGUAACUGACACUGAGGGACGAAAGCUAGGGGAGCGAACAGG